rnacentral:rRNA from 1 species
GAUGAACGCUAGCGGCAGGCUUAAUACAUGCAAGUCGUGGGGCAGCAGGUUUGUAGCAAUACAGAUGCUGGCGACCGGCAAACGGGUGCGGAACACGUACAGAACCUUCCUUUGAGCGGGGAAUAGCCCAGAGAAAUUUGGAUUAAUACCCCAUAGUAUAAUGAAGUGGCAUCACUUUAUUAUUAAAGAUUUAUCACUCGAAGAUGGCUGUGCGGCUGAUUAGGUAGUUGGCGGGGUAAAGGCCCACCAAGCCUGCGAUCAGUAACUGGUGUGAGAGCACGACCAGUCACACGGGCACUGAGACACGGGCCCGACUCCUACGGGAGGCAGCAGUAAGGAAUAUUGGUCAAUGGAGGCAACUCUGAACCAGCCAUGCCGCGUGGAGGAUGAAGGUCCUCUGGAUUGUAAACUUCUUUUAUAUGGGACGAAAAAAGGCUUUUCUAAGUCGUCUGACGGUACCAUAUGAAUAAGCACCGGCUAACUCCGUGCCAGCACG